GAUGAACGCUGGCGGCGUGCCUAAUACAUGCAAGUCGAGCGAACAGACGAGGAGCUUGCUCCUCUGACGUUAGCGGCGGACGGGUGAGUAACACGUGGAUAACCUACCUAUAAGACUGGGAUAACUUCGGGAAACCGGAGCUAAUACCGGAUAAUAUAUUGAACCGCAUGGUUCAAUAGUGAAAGACGGUUUUGCUGUCACUUAUAGAUGGAUCCGCGCCGCAUUAGCUAGUUGGUAAGGUAACGGCUUACCAAGGCAACGAUGCGUAGCCGACCUGAGAGGGUGAUCGGCCACACUGGAACUGAGACACGGUCCAGACUCCUACGGGAGGCAGCAGUAGGGAAUCUUCCGCAAUGGGCGAAAGCCUGACGGAGCAACGCCGCGUGAGUGAUGAAGGUCUUCGGAUCGUAAAACCCUGUUAUUAGGGAAGAACAAAUGUGUAAGUAACUAUGCACGUCUUGACGGUACCUAAUCAGAAAGCCACGGCUAACUACGU
rnacentral:rRNA from 1 species